GACGAACGCUGGCGGCGGGCUUAACACAUGCAAGUCGAACGGAAAGGCUAUGCUUUGGUGGGGUGCGGGAGUGGCGUACGGGUGAGUAAGAGGGGAGUAAGCUGCGCUUGAGCUUGGGAUAACGGCAGGAAACUGGGGAUGAAAGCGGAAAGGAGGGCGUGCUGCAUGGUGGGGGUUAGGAAGUGUAGGCUGAUGGGGAGGGACUCGCGGGUGAUCAGCCUGUUUGGCGGGUAGUGGCUUAAAAAGGCUUCCACGGGUAGCCGGCCUGAGAGGGUGACGGGCCCCCUUGCCACUGAGCUACGGCCCAGACUCCUACGGGAGGCAGCAGUGUGGGAUAUUGCCUAAUCCACCGAAGUCUGAUGCAGCAACGCCGCGUGCCGGAUGACGGCCUUCGGGUUGUAAACCGCUUUCGCCUGUGACGAAGCGUGAUUGACGGUAAUGUGUGAAGAAGCACCGGCUAACUACGUG
rnacentral:rRNA from 1 species